GUUCUUGCUUCGGCAGAACAUAUACUAAAAUUGGAAUGAUACAGAGAAGAUUAGCAUGGUCCCUGUGCAAGGAUGACACGCAAAAUCGUGAAGAGUGUGUAGAUACC
rnacentral:snRNA from 1 species